rnacentral:tRNA from 1 species
UGGCUCUGUAGCUCAGUUGGCAGAGCGAACGACUGAAAAUCGUUAGGUCACCGGAUCGACGCCGGUCGGAGCCACCAA